rnacentral:ncRNA from 1 species
CAACAGGCUUUGAUGGGAACAAGUACAUUUCUGCAAUACUUACAGAGAGCUGCCGGCAGGUGAGAGGCGCAAGGAAACAGAUCUGGAAUACAUCCCGGAGCUUUGCACCGAACGUCAUACCGGAUGAUUAAAUAUCCCCGGUUCGAUUAAUAAGCCGCAACGUAUUGGCACACGUUAUAGUGCCGGAGUGUUAGCAGAAUCGGCUAUUUUCACAUAUGUCGAAUAAUGUGUGACAACUCACGGAGGCAUUCCUGUGCGAGCAGGAUGCAAAUUAAGGUGGUAACGCGAGAAAUCCCCCUCGUCCUUAAA